UGAAUACGAGACGCUACGGCGUCGAAGCAGUCUAUGUCAUACUUCCAAGAAAAGCUUGCACUGUCAUAAACAAAUAAUGCCUGUACCAUAACCGACACAGGUGGGUAGGUAGAGUAUACUAAGGGGCGCGAGAUAACUCUCUCUAAGGAACUCGGCAAAAUGACUCCGUAACUUCGGGAGAAGGAGUGCCUUAUUUAUAAGGUUGCAAUAACAAGAUCCAAGCAACUGUUUAUCAAAAACACAGGUCUCCGCUAAGUCGUAAGACGAUGUAUGGGGGCUGACGCCUGCCCAGUGCCAGAAGGUUAAAGAAGUUGGUUAGCAUUAGCGAAGCUGAUAACUGAAGCCCUGGUGAACGGCGGCCGUAACAAUAACGGUCCUAAGGUAGCGAAAUUCCUUGUCGGGUAAGUUCCGACCCGCACGAAAGGCGUAAUGAUUUGGAUACUGUCUCAGAGAGGGGCUCGGUGAAAUAGACUUGUCUGUGAAGAUGCGGACUACCUGCACCAGGACAGAAAGACCCUAUGAAGCUUUACUGUAACUUGAAAUUGAAAUUGGACUUUAUUUGCGCAGUAUAGGUGGGAGGCAUUGAUAAUAUUCUUGCGGGAAUGUUGGAGCCAUCAGUGAGAUACCACUCUUGUAAUGUUAGAUCUCUAACUUUGGAUCAUUAUCUGGUCAAAGGACAGUUUCAGGCGGGCAGUUUGACUGGGGCGGUCGCCUCCUAAAUGGUGACGGAGGCGCACAAAGGUUUCCUCUGAACGGGUAGAAAUCGUAUCUAGAGUGUAAAGGCAUAAGGAAGCUUGACUGUGAGACCUACAAGUCGAGCAGGGACGAAAGUCGGUCUUAGUGAUCUGACGGUGCUGAGUGGAAAGGCCGUCACUCAACGGAUAAAAGUUACUCUAGGAUAACAGGCUGAUCUCCCCCAAGAGUUCACAUCGACGGGGAGGUUUGGCACCUCGAUGUCGGCUCAUCGCAUCCUGGGGCGGUAGUACGUCCCAAGGGUUGGGCUGUUCGCCCAUGAAAGCGGUACGCGAGCUGGGUUCAGAACGUCGUGAGACAGUUCGGUCCAUAUCCGGUGUAGGCGUUAGAAUAUUGAGAGGAGCCUUCUUUAGUACGAGAGGACCGAGAAGGACAUACCUCUGGUGUACCAGUUAUCGUGCCAACGGUAAACGCUGGGUAGCUAUGUAUGGAGAGGAUAACCGCUGAAAGCAUCUAAGUGGGAGGCCCACCUCAAGAUAAGUAUUCUCA
rnacentral:rRNA from 1 species